UAUAUUAUUGUGUAUAAAUAUAGUUUGAAAGCUUAUUUAUCUAACUUACUGCACAUGUAAUAAUUUCGGUGUUGGCUCAUUGUUGGAUUUAUAUAUAUUAAAACAAACCAUGAUUGUCAUUAUAGUUCUUACAGUACUUUCACUCCUAGAUGAUUCAGUUGCACUCACGUGUUAUGACUGUCAGAAGAUUGACAACCAGAAAUCGUGUAACGUGACAACCACGU